rnacentral:lncRNA from 1 species
AUCUCGACCUGGGUGGCUUCGUGGGUGCGCAGCCAGCUCUUUGAAGUUCAAGGCUUGAGAAGUCCCUGGGCAGCCGGGUGUCAGAGGAUUCGGCUGGGGUUAAAAGGCGCCUCCUACUGGAGCUGCCUGCCUCCUUAUCCCACCACGCUGCUACCUCACCAGGACCGGAGGGGAGGCCUCAAAAAUGAGAAGAUUCUAUUCUUGGAUCUGCCAGCACUGGGGAUGUCUCUGCAGCCCUGGCUCGGAAUACCCACACCUAGAAUUUCCAAGAGCUGGCAGAAUAAUGGGCGCCCAAAGCUGUUCACAUCUCAGUCUCCGGAACCCAGGACCUUAGGUGGUAGACUGCAGGAUCAAUAUGAGUAUCAGAGGCAGCAGCAGGAUGCGAUGCUCUGUGUGAGCCCCCAUGACAUCUGAACUGCAGUUGCUGAGACCUGAACUGCCCGCUCGGGAACACAGGACUCUUUAGAGCGGGCUUGUCUGAUGGACCAUUCCUGAACUCUGGACACGUGAUGCUUGAAAAUGAGUGUCUAGCGGGACUUGGUGAUGCACGCAGGUAACCCCAGUGCCUUUGGGAACUGAGGCAGGGGGAUCAGAAGAUCAGGGUCACCCUUUUUGAGGAUAACUUUGUGUGGUUCUGUCUCAACACACACACCAAAAAUCAAAAACUAAAAAACAAAAAACAAAACAAAACAAAAA